rnacentral:rRNA from 1 species
GCUUGUAGCCAUGCUACAAUGGUCUGUGAUCCCAUUAGGCCUUAGAAGCUAAGCUGGGUGAGUGAAUUUCUGGGAGACCGCCAAGGAAAGCCCAGGUGCUGUAGGUA